UGAGGAAUAUUGCACAAUGGGCGCAAGCCUGAUGCAGCGACGCCGCGUGUGGGAUGAAGGGGCUACGCCUCGUAAACCACUGUAGCCCGGGACGCAAAACGCCUUAGAGGCGUUAGACGGUACCGGGAAAGUAAGGGUCGGCUAACUACGUGCCAGCAGCCGCGGUAAUACGUAGGACCAAAGCGUUGUCCGGAUUUACUGGGUGUAAAGGGUGCGCAGGCGGAUGGGUAAGUCAGGGGUGAAAGUCUGCAGCUUAACUGUAGAAUUGCCUUUGAUACGGCUCAUCUUGAGUGUGAGAGAGGUUGAUCGAAUUCCAGGUGUAUCAGUGAAAUGCGUAGAUAUCUGGAAGAACACCAGUGGCGAAGGCGGGCAACUGGCCCAUAACUGACGCUCAUGCACGAAAGCGGGGGAGCAAA
rnacentral:rRNA from 1 species